GAGGGCAGAGCUCAGUGGCAGAGCCCAUGCUUAGCAGGCAUGGGGUCCUGGGUUCAAUCCCCAGUAGCUCCA
rnacentral:tRNA from 1 species